rnacentral:rRNA from 1 species
GAUGAACGCUGGCGGCGUGCCUAAUACAUGCAAGUCGAGCGAACAGAUGAGGAGCUUGCGCCUCUGACGUUAGCGGCGGACGGGAGAGUAACACGUGUAUAACCUACCUGUAAGACUGGGAAAACUUCGGGAAACCGGAGCUAAUACCGGAUAAGAUAUUGAACCGCGUUGUUCAAUAGUGAGAGACGGCUGUGCUGGCACUUAUAGAUGGAUCCCCGCCGCAUUAGAUAGUUGGUGAGGUAACGGCUUAUCAAGGCAAGGAUGCGUAUCCGACCUGAGAGGGUGAUAGGCGACCUUGGAGGUGGAACAGGGACCAGGCUACUGCGGGACGCAGCAGUCGCGAAUGUGACGCAACGGGCGAAAGCAUGACGGAGCAAGGCCGAGUGAGUGGUGAAGGUGUUCGGUGCGUAAAAAUGUGUUAUUAGGGAAGAACAAAUGUGUAAGUAAAUAAGCACGUAUUGACGGUAACUGAUAAGAAAGCACCGGCUAACUACGUG